AUGUCUAAGGAAAUUGACUUUCGUCAGCUGCUUAUUUCACCCAGAAGGCCUAAGGGUAAGAGAAGGAGGGAUGUAAGGACUGGCAUCAAUUUUGUAUCCAUAGAUGCCAGCAGUCACUUCGCCACUGGGGUUACUGCCUACCUUCUGCCCCCACAGCCGAAAGACUUGUACAUGAACAGGAAUGCCAGGCUCGUUUGUGUGGUUGUCAGUCUGCAACAGGAAGAGGGGUUGAAAAUAAGCUGGUCACGUAAGAAGCGAAUUGCCACGCAUCCGGAAUUAGUGGUGGUGACUGAAGAAAACAAUGGAACCUUCACAGCUGUCAGCCACCUCCCUGUCUCCACUGAAGAUUGGGAAUCGGGAGAGGCUUUCACCUGUUCAGCAGAAUAUCCAGGUCUGCCUCGUCCCAUCAUGAAGAAAAUUUCCAAGAGCAGAGAAGAUGACUACGUCAACACCCCAGCCGUGAAGGAAAAGAGGGACGAUUCCUACAUCCUCUAUAGCAAAUUGACAAUCUCUGAAUCAGAUUGGCAUGCCGGCGAGUCAUUCAGCUGUAUAGUUGUCCAUGAGACCCUUGAACAGAAGUUCACCCAGAUGAGCAUAGCAAAAACAUCAGAUAAACAUUGA